CGGCGGACGGGUGAGUAACGCGUGAGCAACCUACCUUGCACAGGGGGAUAACACCCGGAAACGGGUGCUAAUACCGCAUAAGACCCCACUAUCGCAUGAUAGAGAGGUCAAAGGGCAUAACCGGUGCAAGAUGGGCUCGCGUCCCAUUAGCUAGUUGGUGAGGUAACGGCUCACCAAGGCGACGAUGGGUAGCCGACCUGAGAGGGUGAUCGGCCACACUGGGACUGAGACACGGCCCAGACUCCUACGGGAGGCAGCAGUGGGGAAUAUUGCGCAAUGGGGGGAACCCUGACGCAGCGACGCCGCGUGAGUGAAGAAGGUCUUCGGAUCGUAAAGCUCUGUCAUCGGGGACGAAGGUAUGACGGUACCCGAAGAGGAAGCCCCGGCUAACUACGUGCCAGCAGCCGCGGUAAUACGUAGGGGGCGAGCGUUGUCCGGAAUUACUGGGCGUA
rnacentral:rRNA from 1 species